UACGUAGGCAGCAAGCGUUGUUCGGAGUUACUGGGCGUAAAGGGUGUGUAGGCGGUUGUUUAAGUUUGGUGUGAAAUCUCCCGGCUCAACUGGGAGGGUGCGCCGAAUACUGAAUGACUUGGAGUGCGGGAGAGGAAAGUGGAAUUCCUGGUGUAGCGGUGAAAUGCGUAGAUAUCAGGAGGAACACCGGUGGUGUAGACGGCUUUCUGGACCAUUACUGACUCUGAGUCACGAAA
rnacentral:rRNA from 1 species